UACAGAGGGGGCAAGCGUUAUUCGGAAUUAUUGGGCGUAAAGGGCGCGUAGGCGGCUUGGCAAGUGGAUGGUGAAAUCCCUCGGCUUAACCGAGGAACUGCCGUCCAAAACUGCUUCGCUUGAGACCGGGAGAGGUGAGUGGAAUUCCCAGUGUAGCGGUGAAAUGCGUAGAUAUCUGCAGGAACACCCGUGGCGAAAGCGGCGCGCUGGACCACUACUGACGCUGAGGAACGAAAGCUAGGGGAGCAAACAGG
rnacentral:rRNA from 1 species